rnacentral:rRNA from 1 species
AAUCAACGCUGGCGGCGUGCCUCAGACAUGCAAGUCGAACGAUUAAGACUUCCUUCGGGAAGUGCAUAAAGUGGCGCACGGGUGAGUAACACGUAAGUAAUCUACCCUCGAGUGGGGAAUAACGUUCGGAAACGAACGCUAAUACCGCAUAAUGCAGCGGCAUCGCAAGAUGACAGUUGUUAAAGGAGUAAUUCGCUUGAGGAGGAGCUUGCGGCAGAUUAGCUAGUUGGUAAGGUAACGGCUUACCAAGGCUACGAUCUGUAUCCGGUCUAAGAGGACGGUCGGACACACUGACACUGAAUAACGGGUCAGACUCCUACGGGAGGCAGCAGUCGGGAAUUUUGGGCAAUGGGGGAAACCCUGACCCAGCAACGCCGCGUGAAGGAUGAAGUAUUUCGGUAUGUAAACUUCGAAAGAAUGGGAAGAAUAAAUGACGGUACCAUUUAUAAGCUCCGGCUAACUACGUGCCAGCCGCCGCUGUAACAC